rnacentral:rRNA from 1 species
GACGAAGGAUUCAAGCGUUGUCCGGAUUUACUGGGUUUAAAGGGUGCGUAGGCGGCAAUAUAAGUCAGUGGUGAAAUCCCGCAGCUCAGCUGCGGAACUGCCAUUGAAACUGCAUUUCUUGAAUACGGUUGAGGUAGAUGGAAUGUAACAUGUAGCGGUGAAAUGCUUAGAUAUGUUACAGAACUCCGAUUGCGAAGGCAGUCUACUAAGCCGUUAUUGACGCUGAGGCACGAAAGCGUGGGGAGCAAACAGG